GACGAACGCUGGCGGCGUGCUUAACACAUGCAAGUCGAACGGAAAGGCCCUGCUUGCAGGGUACUCGAGUGGCGAACGGGUGAGUAACACGUGGGUGAUCUGCCCUGCACUUCGGGAUAAGCCUGGGAAACUGGGUCUAAUACCGGAUAGGAGCCAUUUUUAGUGUGAUGGUUGGAAAGUUUUUUCGGUGUAGGAUGAGCUCGCGGCCUAUCAGCUUGUUGGUGGGGUAAUGGCCUACCAAGGCGGCGACGGGUAGCCGGCCUGAGAGGGUGGACGUCCACAUUGGAACUGGGAGACGGCCCAGACUCCUACGGGAGGCAGCAGUUGGGAAUAUUGCACUAUGGGCGCAAGCCUGAUGCAGCGACGCCGCGUGUGGGAUGACGGCCUUCGGGUUGUAAGCUCCUUUCGCUAGGGACGAAGCUUUUUGUGACGGUACCUAGAUAAGAAGCACCGGCUAACUACGUG
rnacentral:rRNA from 1 species